rnacentral:rRNA from 1 species
UACGUAGGGGGCAAGCGUUGUCCGGAUUUAUUGGGCGUAAAGAGCGUGUAGGCGGCUUGGUAGGUCUCGCGUCAAAACCUGAGGCUCAACCUCAGUUCGCGUGGGAAACCACCUAGCUAGAGUCCGGAAGAGGAGAACGGAAUUCCCAGUGUAGCGGUGAAAUGCGCAGAUAUUGGGAGGAACACCAGUGGCGAAGGCGGCUACCUGGACCGGUUCUGACGCUGAUGCGCGAAAGCGUGGGUAGCAAACAGG